rnacentral:lncRNA from 1 species
UAAAGAAGCCAUCGUCACUCGUUCAGGAUCUGGAUAGGGUUUUCACCCAGAGAGACCCGUGCGACAAGGUUGUAGCUCCAAGAUGACGCCACUUGGGAAACGACGCCCAGGGGUGCCGCCGUCAUUUCUAAAGGGCUUUCGCCCGGAGCAUGAACUCCUCGCUACAUGCUCACUACUUGGCACUCACGGACCACAGCCCCGGAACCAGAGUGGUGGCGCCACCACACCUCCAUGCACCAUGCCGCCGCCAGUCUCCGCCUCUGCUACGCUUGCCGCCCAGGAGCCAACUG